UUUCACAAACUUAACUUCAUGUACCAAUUGCUCGACCCAAUUUGGCACUACUUCACACUCCCUUAUCUGCAUUAGACUCUGACUUUCCUUGUUUACACACUGAUGUCAAUUACACAUCACCUUGUUGUCAAAACACUACACACAAUGUUCAGUUGUUGCACACACUUCUCAAGUAAAGUCUCAAAGCAUCAACCUACAAUACACAAAUAUUCAAAUCUCUAAACACUCAGGUCUGGUGAGCAAUUUGCGAUCAGGACUGCAGCAUAAAAAGGGCCUUGAGCCUCUGUUUUGUUUGGUGAACAAUGGAGAACUUAGAACAUAUCAACAACCAGAGAAGGAGAGGGGUAAGAGUGAGAGGAGGAAGAGGAGGACAAGGAAGAGGACAAAGAAGAGGACAAGGAAGAGGAGGGAGAGGAUGAAAAGGAGGAGGAAGAGGAGGACGACAAGAAGGAGGAGGAGGAAGAGGAGAAGAAGAAGGAGGAGGAGGAGAAAGAAGAAAGAGAACGGUGAUCUCUGAUGAGAUUCGGGCCACCAUGGUUGACCAUGUGCUCAACCAUGGUUUGAGCAUGAGGGAGGCUGGCCAGAGGGUCCAACCAAAUCUCAGCCGCUUCACAGUUGCUGCCAUCAUUAGAACCUUUAGAAUGGAGAACAGGACUGAAAGAAAACCACACCGUGGAGGAAGAACAUGCACUUUCACAGCCGAACAGGAGACUGACAUUGUGAAAAUGGUUCGUGAAAACAACACUAUCAGACUCUGACAGAUACAAACCAGGAUCCUGGCUGACCAUGCCACAUUCAGAAACAUGGGGGAAUGGAAUGCCCCAGGAAUGCCAUGCGGAUGAAACAAGUGUACAGGGUCCUAUUCGACUGAAACACAGACCACAUCAAGGAGUUACGGCAAGAGUUUGUGCUUCGGAUCCAGGAGCAUGACACAGCUAAUGAGCUAUAUGAAUACAUAUUCAUUGAUGAGGUUGGAUUCAACCUGGUGAAGAGGAGGCGCCGGGGCAGAAAUGUAAUUGGCCAGCGCGCCAUUGUUGAGGUCCCUGGCCAGCGUGAUGGGAACAUCACUUUGUGUGCUGCAAUGGGUUGAGCAGGCCCGUUGACAGUACUGUUCAGAAAUAAAACUUUUCUUGCCGCAUAUGUGUGCUGUUUUAUGUUUGAAAAAAUUAGGCCUACACUGAGACAUUUUACAAAAGUUGAAAUGGCUCAUUCCCCAGAGUCAUUCGUAUGGUGUGUUCCAUUUCUAGAAUUGUGUUUUCAAUUUUGCACUACUGUGUGCUGUGAAUGCUUGGUAGUGUGCAACAAAUGCUUAUUGUGUGUACUGUUAUGAAUGGUAUGUGUGUGUCAUUUGAAAAUAUGGCUGUGUGUACCAAAUGAGAACACGAGUUGCAUUUUGUGAACAGGUAAGAGAUUUGAUGGCAAAGAGUCAUCUUGCAAAGGGAGUGUCAGGUUUAGCAUUUUGUGUGUGAGGUUUUCAGUUUUGUGUGUGCAGUUUUGAGAAAGCCGUUAUUAUUUUGAGAAACGUGUGUUAACAAUUGUGAAAAACUGU